GACCCGUCUUGAAACACGGACCAAGGAGUCUAACACAUGUGCAAGUACUGGAGUAUGCAACUCCUGUGCACAAUGAAAGUGACAGUGGCUGAAAUGUUUGCACAGUCAGCCGGCCUCAAUCCUUUGGGAGAAUGGUCUGAGUGUGAGCACACAUGUUGGGACCCGAAAGAUGGUGAACUAUGCUUGAGUAGGGUGAAGCCAGGGGAAACUCUGGUGGAGGCUUGUAACGAUUCUGACGUGCAAAUCGAUCGUCAAACUUUAGUAUAGGGGCGAAAGACUAAUCGAACCAUCUAGUAGCUGGUUUCCUCUGAAAUUUCCCUUAGGAUAGCUGCAAUCAAUCACCAAUUUUGUCAGGUAAAGCGAAUGAUUAGAGGUUCCGGGGGCGUACUGCUCUCGGCCUAUUCUCAAACUUUAAAUGGGCAAGAACUCGGGGUUGCUUGAUUGAACCCUGCGGUAGAAUGGUGGUUGUGAGUGGGCCACACUGGGUAAGCUAGUUUGGCGAUGCGGGAUGAUCCGAACGUGAGGGUAAAGUGCCAAAGUGCCAGCUCACCUAGAUACCACAAAAGGUGUUGGUUGCUCCAGACAGCAGGACGGUGGCCAUGGAAGUUGGAAUCCGCUAAGGAGUGUGU
rnacentral:rRNA from 1 species